rnacentral:rRNA from 1 species
CCUACGGGAGGCAGCAGUGGGGAAUUUUGGACAAUGGGCGCAAGCCUGAUCCAGCAAUGCCGCGUGAGUGAAGAAGGCCUUCGGGUUGUAAAGCUCUUUUGUCAGGGAAGAAACGGUGGGGGCUAAUAUCCUCCACUAAUGACGGUACCUGAAGAAUAAGCACCGGCUAACUACGUGCCAGCAGCCGCGGUAAUACGUAGGGUGCAAGCGUUAAUCGGAAUUACUGGGCGUAAAGCGUGCGCAGGCGGUUUUGUAAGUCUGUCGUGAAAGCCCCGGGCUCAACCUGGGAAUUGCGAUGGAGACUGCAAGGCUUGAAUCUGGCAGAGGGGGGUAGAAUUCCACGUGUAGCAGUGAAAUGCGUAGAGAUGUGGAGGAACACCGAUGGCGAAGGCAGCCCCCUGGGUCAAGAUUGACGCUCAUGCACGAAAGCGUGGGGAGCAAACAGGAUUAGAUACCCUGGUAGUCCACGCCCUAAACGAUGUCUACUAGUUGUCGGUUUUAAUUACUUGGUAACGCAGCUAACGCGUGAAGUAGACCGCCGUGGGGAGGUACGGUCGGUCGAGAAGUUAAACGUUAAAGUUAGUUAAGUUAGUACGGCGUUGAGAGUUGCCGACGGACGACGACGAGGGAGGAGG